CCAGCGGUCUAGCUCCUCAAAUAUUUCAGGCUCUCGUUUCAGUGAAGUAGCACAGUAGACUGUCACUGCACGGAAUACAUAGCUACACUUUUCUGUUAUUCAUAACUUUCUGGAAAUGACAUUUAUACGUUAAGCUUGAAGACUAAAUCCAACCCAAAAUGACGGUGGACUUUGAAGAAUGUGUGAAAGAUUCACCCCGGUUCAGGGCAAACAUUGAUGAAGUGGAGACGGAGGUGGUAGAGAUUGAAGCUAAACUAGACAAGGUAAGAAAUCUUUUUUAUAUUUUUAAUAUCUCUUAUCUUUUUAGCAAUCCACAGGAAGCCUUUUCAGAUAUCCUACAUACCUAUUAUCCCUGUAGUAUAAGCCAUAUUAUAAACUGGCUGGUUCGAGCCCUGAAUGCUGAUUGGUUGACAGCCGUGGUAUAUCAGACUGUAUCACAGGUAUGACAAAACUACUCUAAUUACGUUGGUAACCAGUUUAUAAUAGCAAUAAGGCACCUCAGGUUCUAGUGGUAUAUGGCCAACAUGUCACAACGGCUAAGUGCUGUAUGCAGGCACUCUGCGUUGGCCAUAUACCACACUUCCUUGUGCCUUAUUGCUUAACUAAACCACUGUUGUCCUGCUAAGUGUUGGCUUCUAGUGCUCAUAGGUUUUAUUUUGAUAGAAAGCAUGUGAUACAUCCAUUGCAGCAUAUUUAAGUUAUUUUUAAUUUACAGUACAUCCCAUCUCCUACUGCACUGCUAAUUAAAUGAGAUUAGAGACAUACAGGACUGUAUAUGAUAGGAUUAAAGGAUGAUGGUGAUAGUAGCUAAAACCUCUUAACCUGCUACACUACUGCCUAGAGUGCCCAGUUUACACACACACACUGAUUAACAAAGUGGCAUGCAGCCCUCCAAUCUAGACAAUCUGAGUAGGACCAUUAGACAGGUUGGAGAAUCCUACUAUUGUACAUUUUCGCCCAUCAGUAUAACACUGUGUGCUUGUUGUAAAUUUGUCUUUGUUAAACCACUGAGUACUGGGUGCAACUAAAAAGGAAAGCAUAAUCUCACUCAGAUUACUUGCUUAAUGUUUCAGCAGCUCAGGUUUGUGUGGACUAAAC
rnacentral:lncRNA from 13 species